GAGAUCAAGAAAGGAGGAGGCAGAUGAUCAUGGUGUCAACAGGUGAAGAAGAGAUGAUGAUGAUGGGGAUGGUGGUCCGGAGGGAAGGUUUUCCUUGAAAAAACAAAACGAGGUGAGGUCAACCAUGUACCAGAUCAUCCUGAAAGCUACACUGAGGAUGACUUGGAAAACCUGAGGUCUUCCCUGGUUGAAGCCAUGAAGAAGAAAAACAAGGACAUGGAGUUCAUCAGACAGAAGAUGGACAUCACAUUCUCCCUUAGGAGAAUGGAGAUUGUAGAGAUGGAGCCCAUGGUCUCAGAGGUUCUGGAGAGGUGGCCCGGUCUAUUUCUUGAAGAACAGGUAAGGCAUCUUUUUUUUUUCUUGAACUUGGUGCAUUUGUUUACAUUUGUGUUAUGUUUUUUUCAUAAUAGUGUAUGUAGGUUCAUUUGUAUCACGGAUGAGAGUUUGUAGUCUUAAUUAUAAUAAUGAAAUCACACUAUCAGCUUGUUGUAUUUGUAUUGCAUUUGUUUCGUUCAGAUUUGUCAAGAGUUCACUCGUGUGACCACAAAGGACCUGAUGGGAACAUUUAAAGCUGCCCUUGAGAUGUUCACCCCUCGUCUGCUGAAAUUGUAUCGUGCCUGGAAGGGCUCCUUUAGUCGAGAGAUGGAAACCCUUUUGGAAAUGCUUGACAAACAGGCAACUGAUGCAGAUGACAAACAGAUGAAAGGCAUCAAGAUGGGGGUCCUCACAGUACUUGAUGAUGAUGACGACGCAGUCAUUAAUAUUGCCCUUGUGCUGGAGAAAACCAUUGUCCUGAAAGACAUCCCAGAUACCCCGACUGCACUUGCGUAUCUUUUUGGCUUGCUUUAUGCCCUCAACAUGGAGUUCCCAAAAGACAUCAGGUAUACCUUUGAAACUAUCCAGCACAUUUUUAUGGAAAUGUCCACCAAUUGCUCACAGCGUGUCCGGAGCUUCAAGACCAAGCUGUUAAACCAGUGAUUCAUUUUCCAUGGGGAAGAUUUAUUUUAUAAUGUUAUAAUGUAUGUUUGGAUAUUUUGUAAGUCUUCACAUAGACCACCUUAUAGUUUUUAUGUUGUUCCUUUAUUUUGACUAAAAACAAAUCUGUUAUUUGUUGCUGUCAUAUAACUGUCACAAGACUAUUGAUUGUUUCUCAGUAGAAGCAAGCUUUGUUUCAGCAUUGCUGUUAUAGUCUGCAUCUUUGCUGGUGUGGCAAGUGUCCAUGGGGAAGAUUUCUUUUAUCAUGUCUGUUCAUUUAGUAUGUUUGGAUAUAUUGUAAGUCUUCACAUAGACCACCUUAGUUUUUAUGUUGUUCCUUUUGAUUUCCCCAACUUAUUGACAUGUGCCUUAUUUGCUCUGGACACAAGUGCUUUAUUUGAACUAAAAACAAAUCUUUUAUGUGUAUCUGUCAUAUUACUGUCAAGAGACUAUGGUAUUGAUUGUUCAGUAGAAGCAAGAUGUGUUUCACCAUUACUGUUAUAGCCUGUAUGUUUGCAUUUUUGGCUAAUUUCAAAGUUCAGAAAGUUCAGAUAAUUUGGCUUUUUCAGCUGGGGAUUUACACAUUUCUGUUCUUAGGCACUAUACAACUGUUUAUCUGUAAUCUUUGUCAAUACUGCAUUAUUUGUAAGGUCUCAACAAGAGUCGGAAAGUAAAAAAUAAAACUGCCCAUAUUAUAGUACUGAAACCUGAU
ensembl:lncRNA